UUGUGUUAGUGUCACUCGUUUUGUGUUUCACUUGAAUGUUUUCACUGUCUCUGUUGUCACUUUAUUGUUCUUUGAUGUUGUCCGUAAAAACGCUUUGUUACAGCUGCAGCUGUUGAUGGAACGCGCUCUAGAAACUCAAGUCAUUUGGUAUAGUUAAGUGGUACUCCACACCAACAGGGGGCAGCACGUGAUAGAAGGUUCAACCCGUACAGCCAUUCAAAUGCAACAUAGAUUAAAAUGAGAGACAUUGCU